CCUGGCUCAGGACGAACGCUGGCGGCGUGCCUAAUACAUGCAAGUCGAGCGAAUCGAUGGGAGCUUGCUCCCUGAGAUUAGCGGCGGACGGGUGAGUAACACGUGGGCAACCUGCCUAUAAGACUGGGAUAACUUCGGGAAACCGGAGCUAAUACCGGAUACGUUCUUUUCUCGCAUGAGAGAAGAUGGAAAGACGGUUUACGCUGUCACUUAUAGAUGGGCCCGCGGCGCAUUAGCUAGUUGGUGAGGUAAUGGCUCACCAAGGCGACGAUGCGUAGCCGACCUGAGAGGGUGAUCGGCCACACUGGGACUGAGACACGGCCCAGACUCCUACGGGAGGCAGCAGUAGGGAAUCUUCCGCAAUGGACGAAAGUCUGACGGAGCAACGCCGCGUGAACGAAGAAGGCCUUCGGGUCGUAAAGUUCUGUUGUUAGGGAAGAACAAGUACCAGAGUAACUGCUGGUACCUUGACGGUACCUAACCAGAAAGCCACGGCUAACUACGUGCCAGCAGCCGCGGUAAUACGUAGGUGGCAAGCGUUGUCCGGAAUUAUUGGGCGUAAAGCGCGCGCAGGUGGUUCCUUAAGUCUGAUGUGAAAGCCCACGGCUCAACCGUGGAGGGUCAUUGGAAACUGGGGAACUUGAGUGCAGAAGAGGAAAGUGGAAUUCCAAGUGUAGCGGUGAAAUGCGUAGAGAUUUGGAGGAACACCAGUGGCGAAGGCGACUUUCGGUC
rnacentral:rRNA from 2 species